rnacentral:lncRNA from 1 species
AAGAAAAAGUUUAUGUGCAUUGGUGUUUUUCUCAAUGUUGUUUGUUGUCCUUUAUAUAGAGGUGAAAGGACCGUUGAAUUUUGAUGGUAGAUAUUUUGUCUUGAAUAGAAAUUAAUUGCAUAACUUCUGUUGUUUCUUGCCAAAACCACUUUGUCUCCCUGAAUAACUUCUUUCCAGUAAUAGUUUCUUUCCAUUUAAAUUUGAAGUUUACGUUACUCUUUCUGAAUUAGG